rnacentral:rRNA from 1 species
GACGAACGCUGGUGGCGUGCUUAACACAUGCAAGUCGAACGGAAAGGCCCUGCUUUUGUGAGGUGCUCGAGUGGCGAACGGGUGAGUAACACGUGAGUAACCUGCCCUUGACUUUGGGAUAACUUCAGGAAACUGGGGCUAAUACCGGAUAGGAGCUCCUGCUGCAUGGUGGGGGUUGGAAAGUUUCGGCGGUUGGGGAUGGACUCGCGGCUUAUCAGCUUGUUGGUGGGGUAGUGGCUUACCAAGGCUUUGACGGGUAGCCGGCCUGAGAGGGUGACCGGCCACAUUGGGACUGAGAUACGGCCCAGACUCCUACGGGAGGCAGCAGUGGGGAAUAUUGCACAAUGGGCGGAAGCCUGAUGCAGCAACGCCGCGUGCGGGAUGACGGCCUUCGGGUUGUAAACCGCUUUCGCCUGUGACGAAGCGUGAGUGACGGUAAUGGGUAAAGAAGCACCGGCUAACUACGUG